UUUUUUAUUACCCACAAUCCCUUGCAUAAUUCACUUUUUCGUAACUUUUCACAUUUGAAACGUUAGUGUACACCAGGUUAGGCUGUGUAUCAUGUGUAUCUAUAAUGGAAAAUAUUCAAGUGAACAAUGAGGUUUAUGACAAGCCUGGCAGAGAGAGGUUUUUCAGAGGAAAGUAUCAAGGUCAAGAUAUGAUAAGUGAUUCAGAGGAAGGCGUUCUGGUGGAUGACUGGCUGACAUCCAAACAAGAUCUAUUGGACACAUCAGAUGAAGAGCUGAAUGAUGACCUUUUGUGUAGCGAUGAUGAGAACGAAACUAUGAGAUGUCACAAUGAAAGCAUUCCUAAACCAAAACUGCAGGCGACUGCAAAGCCUUACCUUGUUUGUGGAACUCCACACCUUGCUGAAGACCAAGCCAGAUGUCCUAAAGAAGAGGUGGAGGUUGACCCUGGUGAAGUUUUAGACAUCGAAAUCAAUGCUCCUUCUGGAGAUGAAUUUCAACAGGAGGUUGCUGACUACAGUGACCAUCAGCAGGCUGACAUAAAGAUGGAUGUUAAGGGUUGUAUUAAAGUGGUGUCCAGUUUACCCAUGCCCGAGUCAAGAGAGGGUGGAUCUGAGUUGCGAGAGGGUCUGUCUCCUCAGCCCUCUGGGCGUCAUCUCACACGCUCCUGCAGGGGACAGCCUGCCCCAGAGGAAACCGUCACUGGACCCUCCCGCAGUCCUGAGCCAGUGUUCCCAGGACAGCAUAUGUUUGAUCAACAACACUCUGCUUCAGUCUUGGACACUAAUCCGCUCCUAGCUGGACCUACUCCCAUGGGCUCCAUUCAGCCUCCGGGAAAUGAGAGUGACCCCUGGAGGCCCAGUCUAGCUUUGCAGGGGCCCACGGAUCUGUCAAAGCCUGGGACUCCCCACCGUGGGCAAAAGCCUCUCCAGAAACAUCCAUCAGCUCAGUCUGGCUGCUCCUUAACUGCUCCCUCUGGACCACAGGCACAGAAACCUGCUGUGCUGGUAAGAGCUGUUGCCAGGAUGGUGCACAGUGCCAAGCCAAUGGCUGUUGCCAGGGGGAUGCCCAUUGCUGCAAGGCAGCCAGCAAGUGCCAAGUCUAAGAUAUCUGCCAAAACUCCACCAGCGCCAGGGAUGGUGGGAAGAAAUGUGGGUCAGAAGGUCAAGGUGCAGCCCCAAACUCCUCCAGCUACUCAAAAACUUCCCGCAAAGCCGCUAAACAUGACAAACAACAAAGAGUGGGAAGAGGAGGCGUUCUACAUGGAGAGGCUGCGGGAGCAGAUGCGACUGAGGGAGCAGGUUAUCAAACAGAAGGAACGGAUGAGAUCUAGAUGGGCCGCAAACAAGAAGCAUCUGCGGCAGGAGCGAUUCCAAACUGAUAGUUCCACCGGACACUGGAACAACAACCAAAAUCAACAGACACAGCCGUGUGUCUUGGGUUCUUGCCCUUGGAAGGUUACGCACCAGCAGCCCUUCCAUGAUCCGCCUCACUGUCUUUUCCUGGAGCGCCAUCCAGAAAUCCAGCCCUUGCCUUCACAGCAGCACCAGUACCAGGUUGUAGUACCCCCACUUCAGCCACCAUGGCAACAAGCUCCACUGACACAAGGGAAUCCAUCAGGCCAUGCAGCAGAGCUCCAGCAUUAUCAGUCUCAUCAGAGGGGCACAGACAGGGUGGUGUUACAAGGAAUGGGGCAAGUCCCAGAUCAGAUGAACCAACAGUACAGUAUAGAUGAAGUCUGGCGAGGACACAAGAGCAAGUGUGAGCUGAGAACUUCUUACGGGCCUGUUCCCACCAAAAUAAGAGUGGUCAAACACCUCAACCCAGUUAGUGUGAGUUGUGAUCUUACACCACAGAUUAGCGAAGAGACUAACGCAGUGACUAAAACGAAGCCCAGAAUUGUCACCUUCAGAAUGCCUGAUUCAUCACCACCUUCAUUUCUGCAACAGAGUCUCAAGUUAAACUGUCCCAAACAGGGAAAGGGAUGUGGCCCAAACCAGCCCCAGGAUGAGAUCUCCUGA
rnacentral:lncRNA from 1 species